AGUGCCUGUCAGUCUAACAAUGCCGUUAUUCACCCCUGGAGAGAAAGUGCUUCCUGUGUCACAACCUGCCCAGAGAAUAGCCACUAUGAGUUGUGUGGCACAGACUGUGGUCAUACUUGUGCCAGCAGCAUUGAUGUUAGUUGUGAACACACAUGCUCAGAGGGAUGUUUCUGUGAUGUUGGGUUGGUGAGGAGUGGAGGACUCUGUGUACCGGUUGAUCAAUGUGGCUGCUUGUAUGAUGGAUUCUACUUGAAUGUUGGUGAGCAAUUCUGGAAUAUAGAAUGUUCCCAACGCUGUGAUGUGUUUUGCUCCAAAUGAUCUGCGCUGCUCUGCUACCUCCUGCCAACCUACUAUGGUGUGUAUGAUCAGAGAUGGACGCCGUGACUGCUACGGUCAGUACAUGACUAU